GUGGGCCGGCAUGUAAUCAAGCAAUUUUUUUGUGCUAGAGGCAAUGACCAAACAGGAUGGGUAAAUCUCCUAAUCUGUACUUUCUUGUAUUGAUUCGUCCGCUUGAUCUAUCCUGUGGAAAAGUACUUGCUAGUUAUGCCAAGUCAGCUUUGCCUUAAAAGGUUUUCCUCAAGUGGCAGAGAGACGGGAAGAACCGUCCGGAUCGCUGCCUAUUUACUGAGUAUUUAUAAAUAUUUUCCAAAUACUUUGUAAAUACGCAACAAAUCAACAAAUACUGAGAAAAUACUCAACGAAUACUCACAAAAUACUCACAAGAUGCUUAUUAAUACUCAUAACUGAGUAUUUGCUGAGUAUUUAAAAAUACGCAGUAAAUUCGGACAGUUCUCUCAGUCGGAACUCCACAGAAUAAUUUCUCAUGUGGCCAAUGCAUUUAGUUCGCACCAUCAGACACUCUUUGCGACUACUUCCGUAAUGAUCUAUGUGAUUACAGCUUUUAUGCUCUAAGAUUGAAACAUAUCUUAAAUCAUAUUAAAACUAUUUGAUCAUUAAUCAUCCAUUGCUCAUUUGAACCUCUACUGAUAUCAAACUUCUUCGUUGCUUUGAGUUCUAACGAUACCUUUCUUUUCUUUUCUUGUCGUUGAUUGUUCCAAUAUGCAUCCUAAAUCACAGAGGAAAGCUGAUGACUAUUCACUUGAAUUUGAUGAUGACGAAGAAGAUGGCUCCUUGCCUCAAAGGAGUGUGCCAUUUUAUAGAGUCGUGACUCUACCAGAUGGUCAUCGUCAGUGAGACAGCGGCCACUAUUUAUUGUAUGUAUAAUGAUUCAUUUAUUAAGACGUGGGAUGGCACUAAAUGAAGAUGGCCAUAAGAAGGGAUAUAGUCUUAUCUUUUCUUGGUAUCAUUAAUCCCACUUUUACAUAUGUACUAGUUAUCACUUGAUGAGGUCAUUUCUUAACUAAAUGAAAAUUAUUUUUUAUUUUCA